AUGGAGAGGACAGGGAGGGAUUUCUGGAGGUUUAGACAUGCUCCAGCAGCACAGCAAGCCUUUUCCUUCUAUACUAAGCAAGGAACAGGAGGAGGUAGCCUUUCAGGUAUUAAAUUGCUUGAGAGCAUCAGCACAGAGCAGCUUGAGGAACAGCCACAGAAUCUUAAAUUACUGUUACUGGGCUUUUUUUUCAGCCUGCAGGAGCUCAGGUUUCUUAUCUGACCAAUGCUUUUUCUUCAAAGGAGAGUAGGGUUUGCAGUGCCCGUCCUUGGGGAGCAGCCUUUACUUUCUGCAGGACAAGGGGACAGCAACACAAGGCACCUUCAAACGCAGAAAAGUCUCUGCUGAGCCCACCUCAUUCAUAUGCUCUGCAGACAAAAUAGUCAUGACAAAUUCCUCCACGUUGCAGGAUGAGCCCAAAGAAAAUUUGAGGGAUCCUGAAGAAGUCCUGCAGCUCCCAGUUUGUUCUGUUUGGAAGAAAGGGUUUGGAACACUAUCUAUCACUGACCUUGUAGAGAUCUCCUCUCUGUUUGUACUCAGCUGAGUUCAGACUCAGUCUCUACUACUAAGUGCUUGGGAGAAUGUUUCAGGCCAAACCACACUUCCUACUUUGCUGAGGAUUAAAAAAAAAACAAAACAAGAGGAAAAAAAAUUGACCAUACUUCUCUUUCUGGUUAUUUUUUCUAGAGUUUUUACUGAAACACGACCUGCUGGCUCUCAACAGCUUUUUGUUUGAUCAAGGCAGCUAGACAACCAGAACCAUGGUGAAAUCCUUGUGAAAUCCAUGUGUUCCAUGCCAUGUCGGAAGCAACUGUUGUCGUGUGGAAUCCCAAAGGAGCAGAAAUAGAAGGGUUUCCCUCAGGCAGAGAAGAUAAAUGGGUACUAUGCUCACUUUGUGUUUAAAGCUGCAGUGAGUAUGUAACUUUCUGUACUGAGGGGAAUGUUACAGCUGCUUGACAGAUUCACACAGUGAGAAAGUGGAAAUGUAAGGAGAAAAUGUGCUAUUUGCAUUUCUAAGUAAAAUGUCCAUUGAGAGCCUGAACACAAAUAUGGAUCAAUAGGAAGACUUCUACCCUGUCCCAUGGGUUUUGCAUGACAUUCUAGACCUAAUUUACUCCCCUAAGGUUGGGAUGCAUUCCCCAGAGGAAAGGAUAUGAUUUAAGUGUAUUUAGGCAAGGAGUAAAGGUAAUAGUGAGGAUAACAGCUAUGAGAAGGAAGAACA
rnacentral:lncRNA from 1 species